UGUGCCAGGCGCUGCACAGCCCCUGACUGAGAUUGGAUCCCCCAUGGUGCCAGGUACUGCCAGAUACAUCAGGGAUGGUCUACAUGGUACUGGUCCUGCCAUGAGUGCAGGGGACUGGACUUGAUGGCCUCUUGAGGUCCCUUCCAGUCCUAUGGUUCUAUGAUUCUAUCAUGAGAGACGAUCCCUGUGCCAAAGUUUUAUCAUCCCCAUUUUGUACAUGGGGAAACUGACGCCCAGAGAGAGGCCUUUGACUUGUUCAAUCACACGAGGCAUCAGUGGCAGAGCCAAAGAUAGAACCAGGAGUCCUGGCUCCCAGCCCUGCCUCUGGAUGACAAGAUCUGCUCAAGUCUCCCUGCAUUUCAUCAUUGCUUCUCCCAUCGUUCCCACAAACCUACCCUUGAACCGCAGAAACUUUCCGUCCUUGGGAAAAUACAUCCCCUCCUCCCACAUCCUAGAUCGCACCUUUUGGAGCAGUGAGGGGCUGGGAGCCAGGACUCCUGGGUUCUAUCCUUGAUUCUUGAGAGUUUGGGAUUGUCACCUGAAUAAUGACUGGCAGGUUGGGGGGAUGGGCCUAGGGAAUGGGACAUGAGGCCUUUCCCCUCCAGGAUGUGACAGCUCCAACAGGAUCGCAGCUGUUUAUGAAUUGUUGCCAUUUGCAGUUCAUACCUUUGGGCUAAGCAGAGAUCAGGACCAGCUCAUUCCUGGCUGUGACAUUUUACACUUAAUUCAGUUAAGAAAUUCCUUUGUGUAUGAAUAACAACCCCAGAGAUUGACUAUGGACAUGAGCAGCCUUCGCACCUUGGAGUCCCCACUAGGAAAUCUUAACAACAGACCAUUGCCAGGAGAUUCCUGUUUCUUUUCCUUUAACCUCUGGCCUCAUCUCUGCUAGGGAAAAGGUGUGUGACCGACCCGCAGACAAAGCAGCACUUUGCACCCGCAGACAAAGCAGCACUUUGCACUGGGUUCGUUUCCUCUCUGACUCAAAUGGAAACUGAAAGAAACAAGGGAACGGCUCUUUCUGGGAAACGAGAGAUUACGAGCUGGCUGCAUACCUGGACAGAGGAUACAGCCGCCCAGAAAGCACUGAGGCUGGGAUGAGACAGGGAGGCUCAGAGACUGAUGGCCCCACCCAGCCACACCCAGAUCCAGUGCCUUAAUCCAUCUCCUCUUCUUUCUCCCUGGAGUCUCUCAUAACUUCACACACCUCAGCCAUGCCCAUGUUGAACAGCAUGUGGCCUCCUUGCCCACACACAACCAGACUGGGCUGGAUGCGGGCCUACCUGAUGGACACCAGUCUGAGGGAAGUUGAAGCUCCCACAAACCCCCUGCUGAUACCCCACUUCUCCCGGGCCCUGCGCCGCCUCCCACCCACCUGCAGCCUGGAUAUGUACAGGCCAUGCUUCGCCACAUAUGGCACCCACUACGUGAGCCAAGCAGCACUGGGGGGCUCAUAGCCAUUGACAGCGAAGUAAGAUGUCGGGGUCUUCUCAGCCUGGAUGGAGAGCCUCAAAGCCAGCCCGGCCUGGGCUCCUACUCCCUAGUACCCAUCUAUACCUUGGUGGGGCUGGAAGACCCCAGGUGGGAGGCACUGAUGUGGGUGGUGAAGGAGUAUGUAGCUGAGUGGGGGUAGAGGAGGAGUUGCCCUCGUGGCUACCCAGAGGGGGGCUAUGCCAUCUCCUAGGACAUCUGCAAAUGCUAGUGCUACGGGAACCCCCUCACCAACUCUAUGUGCUGCCCACACAGGCAGGGUGCUGUGGGGCAGUGGCCUGUAAGGGGACCCCACUUCCGCCACCGACCCCCACAUCAAGGUUUCCUUCUAAGGCCGGGAACUGGAUGUGCUCUAUCAAGGACUGUAACAACUCCGCCUUGGUGGCGUAGGAUCUGGAUUUGGGGCGGGGAGGCUGAUGGGGCCCAGUGUCCUAGAGGUGCAGGUGUGGGACCACCAGGGCGUGUAGAGCGAUGACUGUUUGGGGACCUGGCGCUCGUGGCCAGAGGCACCGUCUGGAAGACCUGCAACAACCUCAGGCGAGGCAGCGGGGUGGAGUAUUACCAUGGGCUGGGGUGUGUGCCCAACCUGGGGGUGCAACUGCCAUGACGAGGUCCCCUGGCACUGCUAAGGAGAGGAACCCAGGAGUCCUGGCUCCCAGCCCUCCUCCCUCACCCCC